UUCUCCACAGUGUUGCUCUCAAUCCCUUCAUCCCCUGGCCUGUAUUGAUACUGGGGGAUGUACCAACCCAUGUGCAGCACCUUGCACUUGACCACGGUGAACCUCCUGAGGUUCACAUGGCCCCACUUCUCAAGCUUGCUCAGGUCCCUCACAUUUUGAAAGUUCUAGUUAGAAACAAAAAUCUUAAGCUUCUGAGUUAAUAUGUACUUUUAUUUCUUUUACAUGGAAACAUAAAAGAAAAUAGGAAAGGACCAUGCUGUAACUAUGGCCUAUUAUGUGUAAGAUUUUAUAGUCAUAGUGGAGUAUCAAUGGAGUUACUCUUAUGGUUAAAAUGCAUGCAUGCUUGAGGAUCAGGAACUGAAGGCUCCUUUCCCUUGUGUCCACCCUGUUGCUCAUGUAUAUAACAAAACCAGUAGUUGCUGGAGAAUUAAGAACUGUAGAACAAAUAAUGCCACUGAUGGGGCUGGUCACAUGAUUUAUACAUACAGGUUCUCAGGAACAGACAGAAGAAAAUGUCCAGCUAAGAUGUGGUUUGAAUCACAUACACCAAAAUCACUCCUGUUUUAUAUUUUGCAGACAGUGUAGGGUCGCAACAGUGGGUGCUGUGGGCUGUGCCCCUGCCUGAGGGUGCUGCCCAACUGUCCCAGUGGUGGUGAGCAGGGCUGGGGCAGUGCCGGUGGGGGCAGCUGCUUCAGAGUCCUGCUGCCAAUGGAAGCCACAUUUUGGCUCAGGCUUUGUCUGAUCCCAGUAGCCCUGGACCUACACCCCACCUUGUGCCCCAACUCCCAUUAAACAGCCAGCCCACCUCAACACGGCCUCUUCCCCACAGACUUGUCUGGUGCUCACUGGUGUUCUGGGUAAUCACUGUCACCAGACCUGCCCUGAUCUUCUUGUUUGGGUGCUGUGGGGCACUGACCCUUUUUAUUGAAGUCACUCACCCUCCACUCCUGGCUCAUCUCCUCUUUUGCAGCAACCCACCCUUGCCACUCCCUCACGUUCACAUUCAUCUGAAAGCUGACUCUGCACCUUAAGGAUUUGAUUCACAGAGCUGUAUUCAUGAAGAGAUAAUUGUUAUGUCACAUGGUAGCAAUGGCACAAAUAACAUCCCAAUGGCAAAUAAAGGGCAAAUUUUCUGUGUUUAUGAGAAAGUUCUGUAUCAGCAAAGCUCUCGUAUAAUAGAGCUUGUGAAUAAUGCUUUUUACCAUCUGUAGUUGGCAAGGAGACUUUGUCCCAUCCUGGCAAGUGAUGACAUCGCCUCAAUAAAACAUGACUUUGUCACCUCCUGGCUGAAUUACAGCAGUACAAAAUAAGGGGAUAUGAAGUCAUCUGCCUUUAUGGCUCUGUUAAUACCAAAAUGCAGCAAGCCAGCCCCUCAGUGAUCCAAGAAAUUAUCAAAGUGUUCUUGUUUCUUUCCUUAUCUUCUAGGCACUCCAUGAACUGGGCCCUUACACCCUGAAGAUUCCCUGAAGGACUGUAAUUCAACAUAUUUGCUUCUUAAUCACAGCUCGUUACCAGGAAGAAAGACUUACAACCAAUGAAUGGCAGCUGAGUACCUCCCUGAAAAGCACUACAGUAAGAGAGCUAUGAGAGAAGAUAUAAAACACCCUCAACAGAUGGAAUGAAAUGGAUCUGGCAGUGGAUCUCCAGAAACCAGAAGCAGUUUUGUCACUGGUGUUAAGGGAGUAACAUCAACUCCAAUAAAUAGAGCACUUCUCAGAAUAAUAUCUUUGCUUUUACAUUUGAAGUUGUGUGAAAUUCACUGUUAAUUUAGCUCUCAUCUUAAGACAAAUAUUACAAUUUCUGCAGCUACAGGCUGCUUAAAUGUAGAUUGCACUCAAAGCUUAAGUCCCUUUUGUUACUGUUAAAUCAUAGCAAUUCAAGAAGCAGGUGAAUUUACAGCAUCUCUCGAAAACCCAGUGAAAAUAAAUACAGACUUUAGCGUUAUUCAGCAUACAUUUGUUCCAUGUCUCUGUGGAUCACCUAUAAUGUCAUGUUCCCUUGUGGAGUAGCAUCAUCGACAUGCUAAAUAUCGUACUAAAAUUAACUGUCUCUGCUUAAAAAAGUUAAGAGAUCUUUUUCCCACCUGGAACAAACAGGAAAAGGAUGACUUCAACAACGUGAAAGCAUCUCAUUUUUCAAAGCUUUCCUUUUAUUCUUGUUUCUGGACUCUGAUACUCCCUGUACUCCAGUAAUCUAGACUCUCCUGCUGGCACAUAGGCUGUGUAGUUGCAAGUUGACUUUUCAAAGCCAUUCUGAGCCAAAGCAUACACUCUUAUCCAGUCAAACAUUUUAAGCCUGCGCAGUUACACAAUCUGGGUAGGGACAAUUUAACUUCUUGAUGAACUCCAGCCUGGAGGAGUACUUUGCUUAGUGAAACUAUGACCACACCUCUUCAAAUAAGAGCAAUGAUUUACCUGAAGUCUUAUACUUGGCACUUCGUGGCUGUAUGGUAUUCUGAUAUACAGUGGCACAUGACACUACACAACAUCUGCUUUCUACAAAACCUUUCAAGUAAUGAGGUUUGGAUACAAAGAGACAGAAAAAUGGCCAAAGCAGUAACAAAUUGUGUUAGGUGAAAACAACCAAAGGCAUAAGAUGAUAAAGAAGGUAAUACAACAAUUCAUGAUUUUGUAUACAGUUUCACUAACUGUUAAAUGUGAAGUUACAGGCAGCAUGUUUAUCAGCAUGAACUAGGCAUAAAGUAAAACCAGACUCAGGUAAGCUUUUUCACCAGCCCUGGAACAACAAACCUCAUUUCCUAUACGUUUCUGUCCUCAACAUACUUACAAUGGGCCAAAUUCACUUUCCGUGGCUCCCAAUACUUUCUGCCAGUAUUCCCAGAUCUCCUCCUUAUCGCAGACUACUAUCUGGGCAAGCAGCAGUGUAUUUUGUGUCUGGCUUUUAGGUAAUACUAAGAACCUAGCAACUCUGUGUGUGCUGAACCAGCUGCUAGCAGCUAGGUAACUCCUGAAUAAAGGUAAGUGUUCCAUGUCUUUCCACAGGAACAGAAAUUCUUCUCAUGAUUACUGGAUUUUACAGAAUUUACAAAUAUAUUCUCAUCUUUUAAUGUCUAGUUUUAACUGGAUUUAUUGCAAAGAUGGCUCUCAGGGUCAACUGAUACUGGGAAGGCAGGCAAUAGAGGAAUACCUGCUCACAAUGUAUUACCAUGGAAAUCGACUUUGAAGUGCUGAGUUUACAGCUGUGAGGGUAUCAAGGACUUGCCCUGAGAGUUCCAACUACUCUCAGUUUGAAACGUGGAAGACAGUUAAGGGAUAGUUGUACAAGAAACAUGAUUACAAUUCAUUUUUUUACUACUUGUUACUGACAGUUUCUGAAACUGAAACUGACAGGUUUUAUACCGUAAGCUGCAGUUGUUAGUAACUGGAUUUUAUUAUUUUCACAUCUCAGAAGAAAGGGCAAGAUGUGAAAGGCUAGAACGAAAUGACCCUCUUGCUGCUACAGGCAUGGCUCACUCAGAUCCACGGCGAGGCAGGCUUGCUCAAUGAUCUGAAAAAGUUUUAACAUAUCAGUGGUUCACGUUUUCUUAAAUGCCCAGUAAAUAUGGAUCUGUU